rnacentral:pre_miRNA from 1 species
AAACUACUCCCUCCGUCCGGAAAUACUUAUCCUAGAAAUGGAUGUAUCUAGACUUAUUUUAGUUAAAGAUACAUUCAUUGUAUAAAUUUUUAGGACAAGUAUUUCCGGAUGGAGGGAGUAUUUA